rnacentral:tRNA from 1 species
GCGGAUGUGGCGGAACUGGCAGACGCGCACGGUUCAGGUCCGUGUGAGCUUACGCUCUUGGAGGUUCGAAUCCUCUCAUCCGCA